rnacentral:ncRNA from 1 species
UAAGCUGAGCGACUGUAAACAAUUCGGCCCCGUGCAAGUCAGUGCAACGCUGGCGACACCCUCGAAUUGCGGGGAACCCCUAAAGCACCUUCACACCAAGCCCGGCGAGGAAACUCCCGGGUGGCCCAUGGGAAACUAUGGGGUAUGGUAACAGCGGGAGGUGAUGACCCAGGACCUGGCGCCUGGCGAAAUGGGUGAUCCGCAGCGAAGCCCCUACCGUUGAUCGACAGCACUCGCAUGCAGCCGAAACAUGGGGAACGUUCACAGACUAAGCGAUGGUGGGUGGAGCCUCUCGGGGGCUCUGCUUAAGAUAUAGUCGGGCCUCCUUGGAAACUUGGGGGAUGGAAAGUUCCGUAGGUGAACCUGCGGAAGGAUCAUUA